rnacentral:rRNA from 1 species
UACAGGGGGUGCAAACGUUGCUCGGAAUUACUGGGCGUAAAGCGCACGUAGGCGGAUUGUUAAGUCGGGGGUGAAAUCCUGGAGCUCAACUCCAGAACUGCCUUCGAUACUGGCGAUCUCGAGUCCGGGAGAGGUGAGUGGAACUGCGAGUGUAGAGGUGAAAUUCGUAGAUAUUCGCAAGAACACCAGUGGCGAAGGCGGCUCACUGGCCCGGUACUGACGCUGAGGUGCGAAAGCGUGGGGAGCAAACAGG